rnacentral:rRNA from 1 species
UAAGGAAUCUUACGCAAUGUACGCAAGUCUGACGGAGCAAAGCAGCGUGAGUGAAGAAGGAUUUCGGUUCGUAAAACUCUGUUGUUAGAGAAGAACAGCGCAUAGAGUAACUGUUAUGCGUGUGACGGUAUCUAACCAGAAAGCUAUGGCUAACUACGUGCCUGCAGCCGCGGUAAUACGUAGGUGGCAAGCGUUGUCCGGAAUUAUUGGGCGUAAAGCGAGCGCAGGCGGUCAAUUAAGUCUUAUGUGAAAGCCCCCGUCUCAACCGUGGUGGUUCAUUGGAAGCUGGUUGACUUGAGUGCUGAAGAGGAGAGUGGAAUUCCAUGUGUAGCUGUAAAAUGCGUAGAUAUAUGGAGGAACACCAGUGGCGCAGGCGACUCUCUGGUCUGUAACUGCCGCUGAAGCUCGAAAGCGUGGGUAGCAAGCAGG